UUCCAGCGAGAUUAUUCAAGCAUCGACUCACUGAUGGAUGAAGAUGAGGAGCGAUCGGCAAAGGCCACCUGGAAUCUGCUGGCAUCACGGCACAACAUCAACAUCGCUCUAAUCACAGUCAGAAGAUAGUUGAAGAAACUUGAGUGGAGUUAUGGAAAGGCUCGUUUCGACCCAAAUAUUUGUCUGACAAACAAAGAACUUCACCUGCUGCAGGCAGGAUCGAAGCUGGCUAGACAUUCAAUGACGUCAUCUUCACAGACGAAUCAAUCGUGGCCCUUGACAAAUUUGCUCAAAAUUGCUACAGAAAAAAAGGAAGAAGAUCAAGCAAGCCGAGUCCCAAGCAUCCCCUCAAACUCUCACCAGGGACCAGGCCCAUAUUUGAUUUUUGAUGGUAUCAUGGCUAGAGAGUUAUUUGAGGAAGAAAUCAUCAAGAGAUGUGCUGGACCCUAUGUCAGAGAAGUGUUUCUGGCACCACAUCAUUUCUUUCAAGACAAUGACCCAAAACACACUGUUGCCCUAGUUUGCAUUGCAAAUAAGGGCAUAAACUGGGUCAAGACGCCAGCAGAGUCUCCUGAUUUAAACCUGAUCGAACUUGUUUGGCAUCAACUGAAAACAUUCAUCUGUAACUCUGCCAAGCCUACAAGCAAAGAUGAACUGGUGAAGACCAUCAAGACGUUUUGGCUUGAGAAACUGAAGAUACAACAAUGCAACAAAUACACUGAUAAUCUCAGCAAGGUUUUACCCAUGGUCGUGGAGCUGGGGGGAAGUGCAACUAAAAUGUAGCUGAG